rnacentral:rRNA from 1 species
CUACGGGGGAAAGCAGGGGAUCUUCGGACCUUGCGCUAAUAGAUGAGCCUAAGUCAGAUUAGCUAGUUGGUGGGGUAAAGGCCUACCAAGGCGACGAUCUGUAGCGGGUCUGAGAGGAUGAUCCGCCACACUGGGACUGAGACACGGCCCAGACUCCUACGGGAGGCAGCAGUGGGGAAUAUUGGACAAUGGGCGAAAGCCUGAUCCAGCCAUGCCGCGUGUGUGAAGAAGGCCUUUUGGUUGUAAAGCACUUUAAGCGAGGAGGAGGCUACUUGGAUUAAUACUCUAGGAUAGUGGACGUUACUCGCAGAAUAAGCACCGGCUAACUCUGUGCCAGCAGCCGCGGUAAUACAGAGGGUGCGAGCGUUAAUCGGAUUUACUGGGCGUAAAGCGUGCGUAGGCGGCUUUUUAAGUCGGAUGUGAAAUCCCUGAGCUUAACUUAGGAAUUGCAUUCGAUACUGGGAAGCUAGAGUAUGGGAGAGGAUGGUAGAAUUCCAGGUGUAGCGGUGAAAUGCGUAGAGAUCUGGAGGAAUACCGAUGGCGAAGGCAGCCAUCUGGCCUAAUACUGACGCUGAGGUACGAAAGCAUGGGGAGCAAACAGGAUUAGAUACCCUGGUAGUCCAUGCCGUAAACGAUGUCUACUAGCCGUUGGGGCCUUUGAGGCUUUAGUGGCGCAGCUAACGCGA